rnacentral:rRNA from 1 species
GACAGAGGGUGCAAACGUUGUCCGGAAUUACUGGGCGUAAAGAGCUCGUAGGUGGUUUGUCGCGUUGUUCGUGAAAACUCACAGCUCAACUGUGGGCGUGCGGGCGAUACGGGGCAGACUAGAGUACUGCAGGGGAGACUGGAAUUCCUGGUGUAGCGGUGGAAUGCGCAGAUAUCAGGAGGAACACCGGUGGCGAAGGCGGGUCUCUGGGCAGUAACUGACGCUGGAGGAGCGAAAGCGUGGGGAGCGAACAGG